rnacentral:misc_RNA from 1 species
UGGUGGUGGCGGCGGUGGCGGUGGUGGUGGUGCGAGCGUGGCGAGAAGGAAAAACACGUUUCACGAGGCAACGUCUCGUCUCGCGUCAAGAGGUUCCGGCUGAAGAUAUCCGUUGUCAGUGUCGUCGGCUGUGUUCAUUCCGUUCGUUGUAUGGUGCAAGCUUUGCGCCGAUCGACGACGGUGAGAAAGAAGAGAACAGGAGUUUUAUAAAACAGAAAGAGAAAGAAAAGUGUGUUAUUGUUGUGCGCCGUUUCUAUGGCAUAAUCCCAGCGAACGAGCGAAGAGAAACUGGUCAGCUGGUUUUACGCCAAGAAGAAUCAUUCGCAAGUGGAAGCAAGACAGUGAGAAGCCGCAUACGGCGAAAUGGGAGACGGAGAAAUGGCGCUGGUGCCAGGUGUCCAGUAUGGUUUGUCGUCGCACGACAAUUUCGAUGAACACAAAUCUUUAAUCUUCGUGAAGCUCACCGAUUCAUCGUAUCGUGCCAUCCAGGAAUACCUCAAGAGCCGAGAUAAGAUCAUCGAGAAACCUAAAAUACAGUUCCUACAAAAUGAAGGGAAACUCAGCAUUCCAUCCAUCCAUGGAUUUAACGGAUUCACUUUUAGUCUCUCCAGCAAUCAGGACAUUGAGGGUCCCCAGGGCGGCUUUGAGUGCGUCCGACAAACUGGCCCUAAAAGUCUGGAGAGCCUCGGCGCAAUACCAUACAAAAUGCGGAUACGGGCAAAUGACGACGUUUACGAGACCACCAGGCACAGAAUGGCGGUCGCCGAGGAGAAUAACAAGAACAAAUGUACAAGGGUGAUCAAAGCGAACGGUCCAGACAUCGGACGCAAGGUGAAAGUGCAAAUAGGAAGAACGAUACCACUUCCUUCGUAUGCAAAACAUCGGGAAUCUACGACGAGCAUUCCAACUUCCGGCAGCAAUCAACACAGAGCGUCAACCAACAAGUCGACCGCUAGCAAUAGUAAUAGUAAUCAUGUAGCGGCGACUCGCAAUCCGGAGAAAAAAAUUUCUGAUAUUAUGCGCAGGCCACUUAAGGAAAGACUUAUCCACGUCCUUGCUUUGAGGCCCUAUAAGAAACCCGAACUCUAUGAUCGUAUCAACAAAGAGGGCUUAAGGGAGAAGGAAAAAUCCAUCAUGAUGACCAUCCUAAAGCAAGUCGCUUACAUGCGCGACAAUACGUAUCAUUUGCAGAGGCAUAUCUGGAACGAUGUCCAGGAGGAUUGGCCCUUCUAUACCGAGCAGGAGAAGACAAUGCUAAGGAGGCGGAAACCUCAGAAUCUUACGCCACCUGGCUCGAGUGACGGUUCCAGCGGCAGUGGUCAAUCGCCCAAUUCCAUCCAUGCGGGUUCACCGCCGGCGAUCACAGCGCCCCCGCACAAUAAGAGACCGGGAUACUAUCAGGGUAACGAUGGAGUAACAACGAAAAAGACACGAAUAUCGCACUACAAGAAACCCGAACCCAUCUCCUUCAUCCCCGCUGGCGAAAAAGUGUCUGGUAGCAGCAGUUACAGUAAUAAUAAUAGUGGCAUCAGUGCAGCUGCCGGCGGUGAACGUGCCGCUGGCGGUAACAGUGGUUGUGUCGUCAACAGCAGUAGUGCUAGUGGCGGUGGCGGUGGUAGUGGUAGUGGUGCAGGUAGUACUAGUAAUAGUAGCAGUAAAAACGGCGCCGGUCUCGACGGUUGGGAAUCGAGACAGCACCCGCAACGUGAACGUAGCAGUCGCGCCGAUUACCGAGCCGAAAGGACAGCGAAUAGUGAUGUGCCGCGAGGUGCUGGGAAUGGCUGCGGCGCUCUCGCAGUCCCGAGCGGCUCCAGUCGGCCGUCAUAUCUAACGUCGUCGCCUAGUGACAGUGAAAGGAAUAGUCAUCACCAAAGCGGCGGCCAUGGGCGCGACGAUAACGUCAGCGCAAAUACCGGGAGCGGUACAAACGACAUCGAUAGGAAGGAUAGGAAUGAUAGGAGCGAUAAGGGCGACCGGAGUCGUGAUGCGAUGAGAGAGGAGAGAAAUAGAGUAAGGGAGUGCAGGAAUAGAAGUAGUGCCGCGAACGACACGAACGAUGUGAACGACGCGACUUUAUUCGCUCAAAGUGAGGCUUCCAGUAGCGGUGCUCACAUUUAUAACAUUAAUGCCAGUUCUACCGAUGUGAUGAUGAUUUCGCUGCCGACUGAUGAGCUAGAGAGGCCGGGGAGCCCUAGGGAAUAUCCCGAUUACCUCACGUAUUAUACGACAAUAAGUAAUGCGAUAGAAAAACGGCGUUAUAAAGAGGAAUUCUACGCCAAUUAUGACGAAUAUCGCAAAUUGCACUCUAAAGUGGUCGUAAUCGCGAAUCGCUUUACCAGUUUGUACGAACAAUUGCAAGAGUAUAGAAAAUCGGGCAACCUGACCGAGAUCGAGAUAAUUACGGAACAGAUGAAGCGUGAAUAUAAGGAGAUUAAGCAGGAUAUUGUAUACCAGCAGAUGAAGAAACGGUUUCAUUACCUUCAUGAUAAGCUGAGCCAUAUAAAACGAUUGAUUUUAGAGUACGAAAGUGAAAACACCGUCGAUACGAUGUCGAUUGCGACUAAUGUUGAUAGCGGUAUGGUUAGUACUACGACUGCGGGUACUAACGUAAACAUCGGAGAUCUUGAUAAUCAGCAUUACUGACACAAACUAAAAAGACCGCCUCUUCCCUGCCUCCUCCUCUCGGUUGUCGGUACGUUACUGUCAACAUUGUCGCAGAAUUUGCAUUUUCUCGCCAAGUUCCAAGGCUGAUCCUUCACGGUCCGUAUGGUUCCUGGACUUUAUCGCCGAAAAGUCAAAUGACUUGAGGUCGCAAGAUCUCAUGUACGAUACGAUAUUUAUAAAACGUCUCGCAAUAUCAUCGAUUUAUAUCGUACAUGAGACGACACUCUUCCUGCUGAUUCCUCUUCCCUCCCAUACCAUUGAGCGUUGACAAUCGUUUUUGCAACGAUUUUCAACCUGUUGGCUUUCCGCCAUCAUAACGAGCUAGAGAAGGCUCGCUCGCGCGCUAACUUCGACCAAUACUAGUUCUUGGUAAUGUUUGAUGAAAGCUGACGACAAUCGAGUACGUUCAACAACUAGACAAAAGAGAAAGAAAAAAAUCCAUCCGGAUUAAAAAAAAAUAGUAGUAAGGGCAUUCUGAUGAUCAGCGAAAUGCAAACUGUGUAGAAACGCACAGGAAAUUUGAAGCUGGUCUCGCAACGACUGACGGAAGACAUUGUUGCAUAGAGAAAAAAGGCACAGCGAGAAAAAAGAUAGUAAAACUGUAUAAUAAGUUACUUACCGCGCGCACGUCCAAGUGUGUCGUCCACUUUAAGAGAAUACGUAGAUAAAAGAAAAGAAAUACAAAAAAAAAAUAAGAUAUGUUUGCGAGAAGAGGGUCCAAGAGAUAAUAAGGCUUACCGUGUGCCACGUCCGGGUUUCUUUUUUGUCUGUUGAAAGGAAGAAAGAAAACUGGCUCGUAACACAAAUACAUACACACGAUUUAUCCACGAGCUGGCACGCAUCUUCCGCGCGUGAUUCGUGCGUUGCUCGUCGCAAUUUAAGAAAAAGUGUGUAAAAAAAAAUAAUAUGGUCGGUUGACAAAAGAAAUGAGACGAUGAACAGCCUAAAACAAAAAA